GGCAUGGUAGCCAAGUGAUAAGGCGUGGGCCUCGUAAACUGACGAUCGGGGGUUCAAAUCCCCUCCGUGCCU